rnacentral:rRNA from 1 species
UACGGAGGGAGCUAGCGUUGUUCGGAAUUACUGGGCGUAAAGCGCGCGUAGGCGGCUUUGUAAGUUAGAGGUGAAAGCCCGGGGCUCAACCCCGGAACUGCCUUUAAAACUGCAUCGCUUGAAUCCGGGAGAGGUGAGUGGAAUUCCGAGUGUAGAGGUGAAAUUCGUAGAUAAUUCGGAAGAACACCAGUGGCCGAAGGGCGGCUCACUGGACCGGUAUUGACGCUGAGGUGCGAAAGCGAUGGGGAGCAAACAGGGAUUAAGA